rnacentral:lncRNA from 1 species
UGGCGGCACGAGUUGCCGAACGUCCUAACCGACCUAUAUGGGUUAGAGACUUAUAUAAGUUAGCGACUCACGAAGACAUUCAGCAAUACACGUGAAAGAAAGAGAUGAAAGAAAAAGUGAAAGAAGUUUUCAUUCAAAGUUAAAGGUAAGAUUUACAAAGUCGGGUCAAAGCCCGAUUACAAGUGUUCCAAAAAUAGAAAAGACAAAAG